GACGAACGCUGGCGGCGUGCUUAACACAUGCAAGUCGAGCGGUAAGGCCCUUUCGGGGGUACACGAGCGGCGAACGGGUGAGUAACACGUGGGUGACCUGCCCUCAGCUCUGGGAUAAGCCUGGGAAACUGGGUCUAAUACCGGAUAUGACUCCAUGACGCAUGUUGUGGGGUGGAAAGCCUUGUGCGGCUGAGGAUGGGCCCGCGGCCUAUCAGCUUGUUGGUGGGGNGAUGGCCUACCAAGGCGACGACGGGUAGCCGGCCUGAGAGGGCGACGGCCACACUGGGACUGAGACACGGCCCAGACUCCUACGGGAGGCAGCAGUGGGGAAUCUUGCGCAAUGGGCGAAAGCCUGACGCAGCGACGCCGCGUGAGGGAUGACGGCCUGGUGUAAC
rnacentral:rRNA from 1 species